rnacentral:tRNA from 1 species
UCCGGCCUGGGCCGGACCCCCGCACCGUUGUCGCCGGUCCGGCGGCGUCACUCGUCGUCCCGGGGGUCGUUUCCCCGGUCAUGA